AAUUUGCAGCAGAUGGAGGUGCCGCCACGACCAGUGGUAAAUCAGACUGUGAAGUGCUUGAAGUUUUCUAUAUUUCCUUGGCUACCCCUGACCACCACAGACAGACAUGUCCUCUCCUCUAAUGAAAGCUCUUUAAGAAGUAGUAACCACACUUUAAUCUGGAACACCUGUGAACUAUUGAAGGACGUUAUCAUGCAAGAUUUUCCUGCUGAGAUUUUCCUUCAAAGACCAAAAAUUGUUCAGAGCCUUUUAUCUCUGUUGAAACUGGCCUUUGGAGGAGAUGGAAAGCAUCGCCUGGCAUUACAGUCAGUGUCCUGCCUGCAGCAGCUGUGCACGUAUUUAAGAAACAGACUUAACUUUCACCGAGAUCCAGGUUUUUUCUCCAAUAAACAGGGUACCUCAUCUAAGAGGAAUCAUACAGUAUUUGUCCUUUUGUGUCUGGUUUAUUUAUAAUGUUUUCAAGCUUCAUCCACAUUGUAGCAUGUAUCAGAACUUCAUUCCUUUUUAUGGCUGAGUAAUAUUCCAUUGCAUGUGUAUCCCACAUUUGAUUCAUCUGUGCAUUUGUUGAUGAGCGUGUGGGUUGUGCCCACAUUUGGCUGUUGUGAAUAAUGCUUCAGUGAACACUGGCAUGCAAGUAUCUGUUCAGUGCCUGGUUUCAAUUCUUUUGGGUAAUACCUAGGAGUGAAAUUGCUGCAUCAUAUGGAAAUUCUAUCUUUAGCUUUUUGAAGAAUCGCCAAACUAUUUUCCACAGCAGCUGUACCAUUUACAUUCCCAUCAGCAAUAUAUAAAGCUUCCAGUUUUUCCACAUCGUCACUAACUUGUUUAUUUUUUUCUUUUUUAAAAAUAAUCAUAGUCAUCCUAGUAGAUGUGAAGUGGUAUCUCAUGGUUUUGAUUUGCAUUUCUCUAAGGACCUAAUGAUUAAUGACCAAUGAAUCUCUAAUAACUUUUUAUGUGCUUAUUGUUUGUUCAUAUAUCUUC
rnacentral:sRNA from 1 species